rnacentral:snoRNA from 1 species
AUUCCAUGAUGAGGGCACUCUCCUAAUAAUUCUUUGUACCUUUCCCAUGCCUCAUACAAUGACUCAUCGACCAUUUGUUGGAAACCAGUGAUCUCAUUCCUCAACUU